GAUAAAUAGAUCACGAAACGUAAUUUUAUAAUCUCUAACCAAUAUCAGUAUAGAUAUAUAAUAUUAUAAUAACCUUAAAGAGUAAUGUUAGCCGCCAAAAUUGAGUAUAAGAUUAUAUUUUUCUUAUAUUAUCCUUAGGUAAAAAAGCGGGAAUGACAUUUUAAAUAUUCAGUGUCUUGCUAUUUAAGGAUUUAACGACAACUAAUUUAUAAAAAGGUCUAAAAGUGAAUCGCCUGAAACAGAAGGAAUGGUGUAUUUUUUGGUCGAAAAUGGCCAUGGCCGUAAAAAUCAAUCGCAUGCAACCAUGUGAUCGUUGGCCACGAGCUUUUACUAUACGUCACUGCAGGCCCCCACGCAGUGCGGCGGUGACGGCCAAGGAUGAGAUUCUUGAAGACUAAAAUAAAAUAUACACGCCAGAGUUCAACGAAACGUAACUAUAUGUAUUGGUACCAUGUUUAAUUUUAUAACUUAUAUAUUUAAAUAAAUAUUCGUCGAAGGCGGUCGCUUUACGUAUCAGUGUAUUCGUUAUUCGUUGAUAUAUUAUUAUACUAUAAAUAAUUAUACAUAUAUAUAUAUUUAUAAUCGUAUACGAUGUAUAUAUUAAUAAACUCACCAUGAUGCCUCACGCAUAGAGCUUUGUUUAAAUUUUAAAUCACACUGGAUAGACGUUGAUUGAGUCGGUUUUUAGAUUUAAAUAGUUAAAAAAUUCCACAUUAUCAAAACCCCUGUAUAUGUAUAUAUAUAAACCGUGUUGCAACGUAUCUAAAAUACGCAGUACAUAAAUUAAUUUUUAUAUUUAUAUUAUACGCUUCUUAAAAAAUGAAUCUGUAUCUGUAUUUUGGCAAAAAAUAUUGUGUAUUUUAUAAUAGAAGUAUCUAUCUAUGGACUAUGAUGUAUGAUACCUACUUUUAAAAUUCAAUUUAACUAUGCAGCAAAAUGUAAAUCGUUUAAUGAAAACUUAAGUGAAUAAUUAGACCAUGUACUUAUUAGAAAGUUUUAAAGUUUUAUUUAAUUAUUUUAAAAUAUUUAGAUUCAGGGAUAGAAUGAUGAUGGCAUAAUAUACUAUACCUACCUAAUUAUUUACUCAAGUUUUAUAAACAUAGGUAUAGAAUUUAAGAAAAAGUUCAAUUACAGUUGCUCAAGGCGCAUUUAGUAACUAUGUUUAUUAUUUAUAAAAUAUUCAUGAAAUAUAAUUUGAUUAUCAUCCCUUCUAUAUAUAGCGCUCCCUCUUGUAGUUGAGUCACUAUAUUUAGUAUUGGUAGACAACCCUCAAAAAAAAAAAAAAAUUAUGAUGAAUGUUAUUUUAAAUCUUACUUUAUUUAAAAAUGAACACUAAAAUCUAAGAUUAUGAUUUUUUAUUAC